rnacentral:rRNA from 1 species
CAAUAGCGUAUAUUAAAGUUGUUGCAGUUAAAAAGCUCGUAGUUGGAUUUCUGGUGGGAGCGAUCGGUCUGGCGCUUAGCGCGAGUACUUGCAUCGUCUCCGGCCAUCCUUGGGGAGAGUCUGUCUGGCAUUAGGUUGUCGGGCAGAGGAUCCUCAUCGUUUACUGUGAAAAAAUUAGAGUGUUCAAAGCAGGCUUAUGCCGUUGAAUAUAUUAGCAUGGAAUAAUAAGAUAGGACUUUGGUACUAUUUUGUUGGUUUGCGCACCUAAGUAAUGAUUAAUAGGGACAGUUGGGGGUAUUCGUAUUCCGUUGUCAGAGGUGAAAUUCUUGGAUUUACGGAAGACGAACUACUGCGAAAGCAUUUACCAAGGAUGUUUUCAUUAA